rnacentral:tRNA from 21 species
CGGGCUGUAGCGUAGCCUGGUAGCGCGCUUGCAUGGGGUGCAAGAGGUCGUGAGUUCGAAUCUCACCAGCCCGACCA